CUGGCUUUCAGAAGUACAACUGUUCCUCUGUUCCUAUUUAUUCUGCAUAUGAAGCAUAUGAGUUUUCUUCCUCUGUUGCUCCGUAUUCCCUUUCUGUGACAGUCAUUGUGUCCUUCCUCAAAUGUUCAAAGCCAGUGAAUAAUUCUCUGUAUCUGGACAUUGCUGCAUGCAACGAUACUAGUACUAGCAGUACUGGUACUUCUUCUUCUUUGUCCCAACCCAAAACGUAUGGUUAUAUGGUUGGUGACAUAACGUCAGAAGAGCUGGAGGAGGGUUGCAGCUUAGAGUGGAUGACUUUCGCAACCGAAACUUUGGCAACUUUAUCUGACGCUGGGGACUACUACAAGUACAAGUACAAGUACAUAGACAUAAAUGAAGUACUAUAUUCAUUGGCGGCGUAUGGCUUUGACCUUGGAUAUUCUAUUGAUGAGCCUGCAUGCCAAGGCUCAAGGAAAGUCUCAUGGAAAGUCGCAUGUGCGUUCCCUCAUUCUCAAGUGGAGUAGAGGCGUAGUAGAAAUUAAUAUCAAAAUGAAUGCUUUCCUAACGAGAAUUAUUCUACGCACCGACGGUGCAAGUGACCCGACAGUUAAUAUGCAAUCUCAGCCAUUCGUUUAAUCCAGCCGUUCAUGUGACACUAACCUCCACACUAACGCCGUUAAGAAUUGAAACCCAAAAAAAAUGCUGGUUAUCAUGGUAGAAACAGAGAUGGGUAAAUAUUCAAUUUUUUUAAUUAAACUAGGGUGAAAUCGAAAUCUGGGAGGAGCAAACUGGAAAAGUCGGGCAUGGAGGUCACGCCAAAGAAGUCGUAUAGCCUCCGCCGAUAUAACGGCGGCCAAAGCCGCCACCAGACCCGUCUUCUUUGGCGCGCGGGAGGUCGGACUCAUGGCCUCUGUUUUCCUCUCUGCGUCCUCGUUUUGGUCUCCUCGAGGCUCAGCUUUCUCAUGAUUCUAGAAUAAUUGGUUUUAUAGAGUUGAAUCGGUAAUUGGGUCUGGUAUUGAAGCGGAGGGUAAUAGGAUCUGGUCUGGCGGAUUGAUACAUCAAGUGAUGGAGAAGAGGUUUCAGAUCGGCCUGAGUUUCCCUUCUUUUUUUUUUUAAUUACUAGUUUAUCGCUUUAGAGGUUGAAGCCGCUGCUCCAGAGCUCCCUCAAUUCUCCGCCGUCACCUAGAGUAAAAGCAGAGAAGCUUGAAAACCAUGGCUUACGCAGCGACGAAACCCACCAAGCCUGGUCUCGAGGAGACACAGGAGCAGAUCCAGAAGAUCAGGAUCACUCUCUCUUCCAAGAACGUCAAGAACAUCGAGAAAGUUUGUGCUGAUUUGGUUCGCGGUGCCAAGGACAAGAGCCUGAGCAAGGGACCAGUGAGGAUGCCUACCAAGAUCUUGGAGCUGGGUUGUGGAAAUUCACAUUUGAGUGAGGAAUUAUAUGAAGACAUUAGCUAUUGAAAUAACAUGCUUUGAUCUAUCUGCUGUUGCAGUGGAGAACAUGUAGAAGAAGUUACUGUCCAAAGGUCUUAAGGUGUAGAAAAAACAGCAGCUUCUCUUGGUUGGAUCUUGAUGUCGGACCUUGUCAUCAGAAAUGAAGAUAUACUACCUAGCCGUCAGCUCAGAUGCCACGUAAAUCUAUUGUUUGCAGACAAAUGGAAUUUGGAAAUAGGGACAGACUGGAGGAAGCAUUUGAUUCUACCAUCAAAAGAUACAAACCGAGAGUGAUCAGAGCUCUUCAAAAUCAGGACAAUACUUUGUGUAUUAUCAAUUCAGUUGAUUGGAUUGGAUUCCUCAAUUUAAAGCCAUUAUAGUCAAAUUGAUUGAAAGAUUUUAUUGUGAUUACUUGAUGCGAAUUAGAAACCAA